rnacentral:rRNA from 1 species
AUUGAACGCUGGCGGCAGGCCUAACACAUGCAAGUCGAGCGGAUGAAGAGAGCUUGCUCUCUGAUUCAGCGGCGGACGGGUGAGUAAUGCCUAGGAAUCUGCCUGGUAGUGGGGGACAACGUUUCGAAAGGAACGCUAAUACCGCAUACGUCCUACGGGAGAAAGUAGGGGACCUUCGGGCCUUGCGCUAUCAGAUGAGCCUAGGUCGGAUUAGCUAGUUGGUGAGGUAAUGGCUCACCAAGGCGACGAUCCGUAACUGGUCUGAGAGGAUGAUCAGGCACACUGGAACGGAGACACGGUCCAGACUCCUACGGGAGGCAGCAGUGGGGAAUAUUGGACAAUGGGCGAAAGCCUGAUCCAGCCAUGCCGCGUGUGUGAAGAAGGUCUUCGGAUUGUAAAGCACUUUAAGUUGGGAGGAAGGGCAGUAAGUUAAUACCUUGCUGUUUUGACGUUACCGACAGAAUAAGCACCGGCUAACUCUGUGCCAGCCGCCGCCGUAAAAC